rnacentral:rRNA from 1 species
GAUGAACGCUGGCGGCGCGCUUAACACAUGCAAGUCGAACGAUGAAGCCCAGCUUGCUGGGUGGAUUAGUGGCGAACGGGUGAGUAACACGUGAGUAACCUGCCCUUAACUCUGGGAUAAGCCUGGGAAACUGGGUCUAAUACCGGAUAGGAGCGUCCACCGCAUGGUGGGUGUUGGAAAGAUUUAUCGGUUUUGGAUGGACUCGCGGCCUAUCAGCUUGUUGGUGGGGUAAUGGCUCACCAAGGCGACGACGGGUAGCCGGCCUGAGAGGGUGACCGGCCACACUGGGACUGAGACACGGCCCAGACUCCUACGGGAGGCAGCAGUGGGGAAUAUUGCACAAUGGGCGCAAGCCUGAUGCAGCGACGCCGCGUGCGGGAUGACGGCCUUCGGGUUGUAAACCUCUUUCAGUAGGGAAGAAGCGAAAGUGACGGUACCUGCAGAAGAAGCACCGGCUAACUACGUG